AACGAACGCUGGCGGUGUGCUUAACACAUGCAAGUCGAACGAGCUCUUCGGAGCUAGUGGCGGACGGGUGAGUAAUACAUAGAUAACCUGCCUUAAAGUGGGGGAUAACUAGCCGAAAGGUUAGCUAAUACCGCAUAAUGUAGUUAAUUGUAAUAUUAACUAAGAAAGGAUUUAUUCGCUUAUAGAGGGGUCUAUGGUUGAUUAGCUAGUUGGUGGGGUAAGAGCUCACCAAGGCGACGAUCAGUAGUUGGUCUGAGAGGACGACCAGCCACACUGGGACUGAGACACGGCCCAGACUCCUACGGGAGGCAGCAGUGGGGAAUUUUGGACAAUGGGCGCAAGCCUGAUCCAGCAAUGCCGCGUGAGUGAAGAAGGCCUUCGGUUGUUAAGACGUCUUUCUAGUUGUAGAGAAAGAAUUAGUAACUAAUAAUU
rnacentral:rRNA from 1 species